AAGAGGCAAUGAGAAUAUUCACUUUCUCUCUGUGUGAUAGUCAUCCCAAUCUUAUUAAGCUCUGCAUUCCUUUCCGCUGUCCUCUCUGCAGCUUGAGUGAGUGAGUGUGUGUGCGAGUGUGUGUGUGAGUGUGUGCUGUAGCCAGAGGGAAGCUGCUGUUCUGCUGAUAGGAGCCAGUACGAAGGCCUGUUCUCUCACACACACUGUGAAUUGCUCUGCGUCUCUUCUCUUUCCUUUUACUGCACUCCUUGAUCUUACUGUACCAGAUGAAAAUGUCAAGAGAGGCUGAAACUCUUUCAAACGGCCUGCAUAACCAGAAAAACAGGGACAGUCUGGAAAUAUUAGACAGGUCGGAGAGAUCUGACCUGUCAAUGAUUCUUCAAGACUGCAUGGCGGCACUGGAUCUAUUCCUGCUAAAUGAAUUUGAUGAGGCUUUGACCAGACUUAAGAGCAGGAAUAAAGACAGCAUGUAUCAUGCGCUCACAUAUGCCACUAUACUGGAAAUGCAGGCCAUGAUGACCUUCGACCCGGAGAACAUCUUGGCUGCAGGCAACACAAUGAAGGAGGCACAGGCUGUGUGUCAACGAUACCGUAAAAAGUCAACCUUCAACAGCAAAAACUUCACGGAAGAGGAGCUCCAUGCUGAAGUGUGCUAUGCCGAAUGCCUCCUCCAGAGGGCAGCACUCACUUUCCUGCAGGAUGAAAAUAUGAUCAGCUUCAUAAAGGGAGGAAUGAAAGUGCGAAACAGCUAUCAAAUAUACAAGGAGCUACAUACGGUCCUGAAGUCCUCAAGUUAUGUUCACGGUGACAAUCAUGGGCAUUUCGAGGGAGGCGUUAAGCUCGGGGUCGGGGCCUUUAACCUGAUGCUGUCGUUGUUGCCAACACGGACUCUCAGGUUGUUGGAAUUUGUGGGCUUCUCUGGUAACAAAGAGUUUGGUCUUCAGCAGCUCCAGGAGGGCUCCGCUGACCACACAUUUAGGUCUUUCCUGUGUAACAUGUUGUUGCUUUGCUAUCACACCUUCAUGAGCUUCAUUUUGGGCACCGGAGAGGGAGAUGUGGAAGAUGCAGAAAAACUGCUGAAGCCUUAUCUGAAAAAGUAUCCGAAGGGAUCCAUUUUCCUGUUCUUCGCUGGUCGAAUAGAGGAAAUUAAAGGAAAUCUGGAUGCUGCUAUCAAGCGUUUCGAGGAGUGCUGUGAAGCUCAGCAGCACUGGAAGCAGUUCCAUCACAUGUGUUACUGGGAAUUGAUGUGGUGUUUCACCUAUAAAAGGCACUGGAAAAUGGCCUACUUCUACGCAGACCUGCUCAGCAAAGAGAAUGCCUGGUCAAAGGCCACAUACGCGUAUAUGAAAGCUGCAUACCUCAGCAUGCUGAGUCGUGAGGAAUGCCAGCCGUUCGAGGAGAAUGAGGUGGCUUUGUUUAGGCAAGUUCCCAGUCUGAAGCAGAAAAUAGCUGGGAAGUCAUUGCCCACAGAGAAGUUUGCCAUCAGAAAAGCUCGACGCUAUAAUACAGACAAUGCCAUUCCUCUUCCUGCACCUCCACUGGAGAUGAUGUAUAUCUGGAAUGGCUACACUGUGAUUGGGAAGCACAAGGACCUGACAGAGGGCAUGCUGAAGACCCUGAAUGAGGCCCAGCAGACGCUUGAGCAACAGCCAAGGACUGAGUUCACCACAGAUGACCAGUGUGUGGUUAGUCUCCUUAAGGGGCUCUGUCUCAAACACUUGGGUUGCAAGGAAGAAGCUGAACAUUACUUCACCCUCUCGUCCUGUGCAAUGAGAGUCAGAUUAAAUAUGACCACUACCUAGUGCCCAAUGCUCUUCUGGAACACGGUUUAUUGUGUUUGGAGGAGGGCAGAAUAAACGAGGCCAUCAAACUUCUGGAGACAGCCAAGCAAAAUUACAAAAACUACUCCAUGGAAUCACGGACACACUUCCGGAUCCAGGCAGCGCUACAUAAGGCACGAGGCACAGCUGUGAACGGAGACCACUGCUCACCCUCCAGCCCUUAACGCUUGGGGUCACCACUGGGGUCACAGAAAGCCAAGAUCAGGCUUGACGUGGGUUGCCAUAUGCCAAGAGGAGGACUAAAGGAGCACAUGACCGAUCAGACCCGAACUGAGCUUAUAGUGACAAAUCAUCUUCAUCGAAUGACGCACAGAGAGAUUAUACAGUACUUGGACAACAGCUGCAUGAAUAAUGUUACGUGAGGUGCAGUGCAAUUCACUCAAGACACAAAACUGACAUCAUGCUGUGAUGAUGUCACAUAAAUAACAAACAUAGUGCUAUUAGAAUAUUGUAAAUGUAACAUUACGAAUAAUAAUAUACAAGUUACACCAGUCCAAUAAUAUAAUACUGGUACUUCAGGCUAAGAACAUUGUCACUCAAAACAAAAGUAAGGCCAUCUGUCAAUCAUUUUGGCUGCUUUCGAAGCUCUCGUUGGUAAUGCUCUCCACUGUUGGUCACCCUGUGACAUCAGUAGCCUAGAUGUGGCUGUGCCUUACAGCUAACUGUUUGAUUUGGAUUUAAAGCACAUGUGCACAAAUAUUAGUUUACUUUAAUCUUUGGAGCAUAAAUAGGUUAUAAAAUAAGCCUAUUGUCCAGAGGUAAUAUGAUGAACGUAAGUUUUGAUAUAAUGGUUAUUGAGUACUGCGGCCUUGUCAAAUCUCAUGGACAGGAUUCCUGUUCUAAGCCUAAUUUUUAUCAUUUAA